AUUGAACGCUGGCGGCAGGCUUAACAAAUGCAAGUCGAGCGAGCGGCGGACGGGUGAGUAAUGUCUGGGAAACUGCCUGAUGGAGGGGGAUAACUACUGGAAAAGGUAGCUAAUACCGCAUACCAUCAGCAGUGCCCAGAUGGGCUUAGCUAGUAGGUGGGGUAAUGGCUAACCUAGGCGACGAUCCCUAGCUGGUCUGAGAGGAUGACCAGCCACACUGGAACUGAGACACGGGCCAGACUCCGACGGGAGGAAGCAGUGGGGAAUAUUGCACAAUGGGCGCAAGCCUGAUGCAGCCAUGCCGAGUGUGUGAAGAAGGCCUUCGGGUUGUAAAGCACUUUCAGCGAGGAGGCGAUACUCGCAGAAGAAGCACCGGCUAACUCCGUGCCAGCAGCCGCGGUAAUUC
rnacentral:rRNA from 1 species